rnacentral:misc_RNA from 1 species
UCGCGGCUUAUCACCGGCAGUCCCCUUAGAGUGCCCAACUGAAUGAUGGCAACUAAGGGCGAGGGUUGCGCUCGUUGCGGGACUUAACCCAACAUCUCACGACACGAGCUGACGACAGCCACGCAGCACCUCGGCUGGCUCCCUUGCGGGUCGCCCAAUCUUUCAAUCGGACUACUACCAGUCGUUCGAGCCCAGGUAAGGUUCUUCGCGUAGCGUCGAAUUAAACCACAUGCUCCACCGCUUGUGCGGGCCCCCGUCAAUUCCUUUGAGUUUUAACCUUGCGGCCGUACUCCCCAGGCGGGUCACUUAAAGCGUUAGCGACGACACGGAAGGGGUCGAUACCUCCGGCACCUAGUGCCCAUCGUUUACGGCGUGGACUAC